GCCUACAGCCAUACCACCCUGAAAGCACCUGAUCUCAUCUGAUCUUGGAAGCUAAGCAGGAUUGGGCCCGGUUAGUACUUGGAAGGGAGAAAACAGAAAUAUUAGUCC
rnacentral:rRNA from 1 species